rnacentral:rRNA from 1 species
UGGAGCAUGUGGCUUAAUUUGACUCAACGCGGGAAAUCUUACCGGGUCCGGACACACUGAGGAUUGACAGACAUUUAUAUGCGCAAGUAUAUAUUUAAAGAUGCUAGUUCUUUCAUGAUUAUGUGAUAGGUGGUGCAUGGCCGUUCUUAGUUCGUGGAGUGAUCUGUCUGCUUAAUUGCGUUUCAUAUUAUUAUAUAAUAUACACACAUUACGUGUGUUAUAUUAUUACUUUGAAAGCAACGAACGUGACCGUAGCCUUUUAUUAUAUACGCUACACGUAUAUUAAUUAAAGGGACCGCUGUAUCUUUCUUUAAACCAGAGUAAGGUUACGGCAAUAACAGGUCUGUGAUGCCCUUCGAUGUUCCGGGCUGCACACGUGCUACAAUGAUUAUUUCAUUAAGUAUCUACUGUGCAAUAAUAUAUUAUUAUUAUUCAAAAACCUACUCUGAGAAUGAGCGGGUAAUCAAUUAGAAGUAAUGAUUUCCAAAUUUAUACACUCAUGUACCGUAUAUAUUAUCCCAUAUUUUAAUUAAUAUGCGUGUAUAAUAUUGUACGCUGUACGUAUAUUUAUUAAUUCAUGGUGGGGAUAGACUAUUGUUAAUUGUUGGUCUCGGUCUUAACUAGGAAUGCCUUGUACGGGUCAUUGGUUCAACAGACCACCCGGAAUACGUCCCUGCCCUUUGUACACACCGCCCGUCGCUCUUACCGAUGAACUUCGCUAUGAAUCUAUUGGACUGUACCAUUGUGGUAUGGAAAGAUAUAUGAAUAGUGUGGUUUAAAGGAAAGAGAAGUCGUAACAAGGCA